AUGGAGACACUGGCCUCAGCAAGGAUGACGACGAUGACAUGGAGAACGUGCAACAGGACACCGAUGAUGAUGAGCAUGCUGAAGUUCGCGCAGGUGGUAACAAGGACAAGGAUGCAACAGAUGUCCCCCCACCGGAGAAAGUCAAAGAACAUACGGCUGCAAGAGGCGAGGGGGUGUUGCCAUCAAGGAGGGGGAGGGCUCCAGGAGAUGUUGGGCAGGGUUCUCGUGGCAAGAGGUCUAGGACCGAUCCCGUAG
rnacentral:rRNA from 1 species